rnacentral:rRNA from 1 species
ACGGCUCAGUAACACGUGGAUAACCUGCCCUAUGGUGGAGAAUAACCCCGGGAAACUGGGGAUAAUACUCCAUAGAUUAGAGAUACUGGAAUGUUCUUUAAUCGAAAGUUGAGGCGCCAUAGGAUGGAUCUGCGGUCGAUUAGGUUGUUGUUGGGGUAACGGCCCAACAAGCCUGUAAUCGAUACGGGUUGUGGGAGCAAGAGCCUGGAGAUGGAAUCUGAGACACGAUUCCAGGCCCUACGGGGCGCAGCAGGCGCGAAAACUUUACAAUGCAGGAAACUGUGAUAAGGGAACCCCGAGUGCCCGUAUACGCGGGCUGUCCAGGUGUCUAAAAAGCAUCUGAAGAAAGGGCCGGGCAAGACCGGUGCCAGCCGCCGCGGUAAUACCGGCGGCUCGAGUGGUGACCACUAUUAUUGGGCUUAAAGCGUCCGUAGCUGGACUCUUAAGUCUCUUGGGAAAUCCGCCGGCUUAACCGACGGGCGUCUAAGAGAUACUGAGAGUCUAGGGACCGGGAGAGGUGAGAGGUACUCCGGGGGUAGGAGUGAAAUCCUGUAAUCCCUGGGGGACCACCGAUGGCGAAGGCAUCUCACCAGAACGGCUCCGACAGUGAGGGACGAAAGCUGGGGGAGCGAACCGGAUUAGAUACCCGGGUAGUCCCAGCCGUAAACUAUGCGCGUUAGGUGUACUGGUGACCACGAGUCACUGGGGUGCCGAAGGGAAACCGUGAAACGUGCCGCCUGGGAAGUACGGUCGCAAGGCUGAAACUUAAAGGAAUUGGCGGGGAAACAC